rnacentral:lncRNA from 1 species
UCGGUUUCAUUCUCAGAAAAAGCCUCUGUCUUCCACAAAACUACAUAAAAUACAACUUUCCUCCCAAAACACUUCCAAAACAGUACACUCUUCCUUAAUCUGGUUCCCUCGUCUUCACCGCAGCAAAACGACUUCUCGUAAAGGACAGAACACUCCCCACAGGUAAAACUCCCCACUCCUUUUCAAAGAUUCUAUUGCAAAAGUAUGGGCUAGUCCAUUAGUCGAUCUAGGAACAUGCCUGAAAACAUCCUUUUCGUUGAUAAAUAUCCUCAAUGUAAGCCCCUAUAUGCGAUUUAUCUUGAUAUUGGGAUUGACAUUUCUUAAUAAUGGUUAAUGCAUCUCCCUCAACUUCUAAGUUCAACUUAAAAAUUUCAAGUACGGAGUAGUGCUUAAAGUUUUUAUUAGACACAUAUUUGGCACGAAUUCAAACCGUGCUACCCUAUCCCUUACUUUCAAAAUUGUAUAAAAAAAUUUUAAAGUAUGGCUUUUUUCUAAAUAUUAUAAAUAAAAAAAUAAAUUAUAAUUAGAUUAUUUUUAUCAUUUCCAUUUGUUGAAAUUGUAUAAGAAUAAAACUUUUAAAAUGAUAUGUGUUGUUAUGCCUCGCAUUUUGGACUAAACAGUGUGUCCUCACAAUGAGGAAGAGUUCUUCGUCCCAACGAGCAGCUGGCAUCACGACGAGAGGAAAACCCCUGUCCCAACGACGUGAUCCUCCUUCGUCCCGAUGACACAAUGCCAUGUCUCGACAUGGCGACAUGCAAAUUAAGUUUUUCAGAUUUUUUCUCUCAAUUAAAUUUUGUUUUUAGUUUCCCACUUAAUCUUUGAUUAUUUGAUUAUCCUAGGGUUGUUAUAGUCAUUUAUGGUACGAAUUUCAACUUAUAAAUAGGUCUUAGAUAUUUUAAAUUUAUACCAGGUUGAGAGAAAUCUAUUUUUUAUUUUGAAGGGUUUGUUUUUGGGGCUUUGAAUUUUCCUUUAAUUCUUUAUAUCUACUCUCUUUUAUUACAGUGAAAUUUUAUUUUAUUUGUGCUUUUUAUUCUCAUUUGUGGAUUUUUUUUACGUAAAAUUUACAUAUUCGAUCAUUUCAAUUUUACUUUAUUUACUUAUUCAUUGCUAUUCAUUGCAUAAUAAGGGUUAAUUCCC